rnacentral:rRNA from 1 species
GAUGAACGCUAGCGGGAGGCUUGACACAUGCAAGUCGUGGGGCAGCACGGGGUAGCAAUACUCUGGUGGCGACCGGCGCACGGGUGAGUAACGCGUAUGCAACCUACCCAGUACAGGGGGAUAGCCCGGAGAAAUUCGGAUUAAUACCCCAUAAUGAUAUUAAGAGGCAUCUUUUAAUAUUCAAAGCUUCGGCGGUACUGGAUGGGCAUGCGUAAGAUUAGCUAGUUGGUAGGGUAACGGCCUACCAAGGCUCCGAUCUUUAGGGGUCCUGAGAGGGUGAUCCCCCACACUGGUACUGAGACACGGACCAGACUCCUACGGGAGGCAGCAGUGAGGAAUAUUGGUCAAUGGGCGCAAGCCUGAACCAGCCAUCCCGCGUGAAGGAAGAAGGCGCUAUGCGUUGUAAACUUCUUUUCCGGAGGAAUAAAAUCUUGUACGCGUACAGGACUGAAGGUACUCCGGGAAUAAGCAUCGGCUAACUCCGUGCCAGCAGCCGCGGUAAGAC